AUGAGACAGCUAACACCAACAGAUGUUUCGGGAACUUUCUAAGCCACUCGCACAGGACAAAUUCCUUCUCUCGGGUAAUCAUCCUGUAACCUUAUGAGGUAGAGAAACCAACUGUUCCCGAUUAACUGAUGGAGCAAGAGAGACCAAGAUCAUCUACCUGCCCAUCCAGAGAGUGGUGGUCCCAGGAGCUGAGCCCAGGCAGUGCGACUCCACAGACCACCCUAAGCUAUCAGAGGACAAAAAUCUUCUGUAAACUGACGGCUGUGCAAGCGUGAGAGCCAGAGUGUGGAUGCCCGGUGCCCACGUGAAAAGCUGGGCACUGUGGAUGAUGACAAUCCCAGCCCUGAGGAAGGGGAGACAGAAGGUGCACCCACUGAACGGUCUCUCCUAAGCUCAUGUCCCCGUUAGCUCAAGUCCGCACAGAAAGAACAGCGGAGUCACGGACAUCAGGUAACAG